rnacentral:lncRNA from 1 species
CAGCUCACUGCAACUUCCACCUCCUGGGUUCAAGCGAUUCUCCUGCCUCAGCCUCCCAGUAGCUGUGAUUACAGGCGCUGGCCACAAAACCCGGCUAAUUUUUGUAUUUUAGUAGAGACGGGGUUUCAUCAUGUUGGUCAGGCUGGUCUCGAACUCCUGACCUCAAAUGAUCCACCAGGCUUGGCCUCCCAAAGUGCUGGGAUUACAGGCGUGAGCCACCGUGCCCGGCCUAGAAUGAAUAUAAAGAUAUAUGACUUAUAUGUACUUACUUAUAUUUUCAACUUAAUUUAUAUGCAAAUAUUUUAGUGAUGAUAUAUCUGGCAAUAAUAGUUAAUUCAUAGCCCUACAAGACUACAAAAAAUCAUUUGUGCUGUGAUGAACCUGAAGUAUUAGAAGUUAGCAUUAUUAUUACUAUUAUUUUUUGAGACAGAGUCUCAGCCUGUUGCCCAGACUGGAGUGCAGUGGCACAAUCUCAGCUCACUGCAACCUCUGCCUCCCAGGUUCAAGCAAUCCUCUUGCCUCAGUCUCCCAAGAAGCUGGGAUUACAGGCGCACGCCACCAUGCCCAGCUAAUUUCUGUAUUUUUAGUAGAGAUGAGGUUCACCAUAUUGGCCAGGCUGGUCUCGAACUCCUGAUUUCAGCCUCUCAAAGUGCUGGGAUUACAAUGCACCCUAGAACUUAAAGUAAAAUAAAUAAUUUUUAAAAAUUGGUGUGUAAUAUUGAGAGUUUAUUAUUUUAUCUCCUUAGUACUUGAGAGAACUUGUUUUUUGCCUUCAAGUUUAUAAUAUUUUGGGGAAAAUUAUUUCACAGGAAAGACUUAAAUUGUAAAUUUUUAUUAUACAUUCAGAAGA